rnacentral:rRNA from 1 species
AUUGAACGCUGGCGGCAGGCCUAACACAUGCAAGUCGAACGGUAACAGGAAACAGCUUGCUGUUUCGCUGACGAGUGGCGGACGGGUGAGUAAUGUCUGGGAAACUGCCUGAUGGAGGGGGAUAACUACUGGAAACGGUAGCUAAUACCGCAUAACGUCGCAAGACCAAAGAGGGGGACCCUCGGGCCUCUUGCCAUCGGAUGUGCCCAGAUGGGAUUAGCUUGUUGGUGGGGUAACGGCUCACCAAGGCGACGAUCCCUAGCUGGUCUGAGAGGAUGACCAGCCACACUGGAACUGAGACACGGUCCAGACUCCUACGGGAGGCAGCAGUGGGGAAUAUUGCACAAUGGGCGCAAGCCUGAUGGAGCCAUGCCGCGUGUAUGAAGAAGGCCUUCGGGUUGUAAAGUACUUUCAGCGGGGAGGAAGGGAGUAAAGUUAAUACCUUUGCUCAUUGACGUUACCCGCAGAAGAAGCACCGGCUAACUCCGUG